UACGGAGGGUGCAAGCGUUAUCCGGAUUCACUGGGUUUAAAGGGUGCGUAGGUGGGUUGGUAAGUCAGUGGUGAAAUCCCCGAGCUUAACUUGGGAACUGCCAUCGAUACUAUCAGUCUUGAAUACCGUGGAGGUCAGUGGAAUAUGUCAUGUAGCGGUGAAAUGCUUAGAUAUGACAUAGAACACCAAUUGCGAAGGCAGCUGGCUACACGAAUAUUGACACUGAGGCACGAAAGCGUGGGGAUCAAACAGG
rnacentral:rRNA from 1 species